rnacentral:rRNA from 1 species
GAAUUGUUCGCAAUGGGCGCAAGCCUGACGACGCAACGCCGCGUGGAGGAUGAAGGUCUUCGGAUUGUAAACUCCUGUUGCCCGGGACGAAACGCUCCGACCUAACGCGUCGGAGUCUGACGGUACCGGGUGAGGAAGCCCCGGCUAACUCUGUGCCAGCAGCCGCGGUAAUACAGAGGGGGCUAGCGUUGUUCGGAAUUACUGGGCGUAAAGGGCGCGUAGGUGGCCUGCUAAGUCGAACGUGAAAUCCCCGGGCUCAACCCGGGAACUGCGCCCGAGACUGGCAGGCUCGAAUCCGGGAGAGGGAUGUGGAAUUCCAGGUGUAGCGGUGAAAUGCGUAGAUAUCUGGAGGAACACCGGUGGCGAAGGCGGCAUCCUGGACCGGUAUUGACGCUGAGGCGCGAAAGCCAGGGGAGCAAACGGGA